CCUGUCGUUUCAUGCGCGAUGCGCAGGCACUCUGCCUGUCUGCUCGAUACAUUUCAGUGCUGCUCGUAUCUGAUGGUAUCUGUUCAUUGAUUGCGGUGUUCGCGGCGCCGUUCAAAAUUUCCGUGUCGAGAUUAAAAAUUUUCAAAGGCACUUAUCCUAGAUCUGUCGAUUCGUAGACCGGUUGGAAGGAGGGAAUAUCACGUUACUCACUUCUCGUGCUCAGUAUAAGAUUCGAUGCCAUCCUUAGCUCCACAAGUUUCUUGGCUUGCUCACCCAAUACAUCUUCCAGCGAUUGAACCAUGUUUACCGAAAUACUGAGUCAGCGUUUCGUCCGUUUCAUCAGUAAAUCAAAUUGA